UCUCCCCAUCAGGUCACUUUCUCAGGUAUGGUAUCCCCAUCAGGUCACUUUCUCAGGUAUGGUCUCCCCAUCAGGUCACUUUCUCAGGUAUGGUCUCCCCAUCAG